CGGACGGGUGAGUAACACGUGGAUAACCUACCUAUAAGACUGGGAUAACUUCGGGAAACCGGAGCUAAUACCGGAUAAUAUUUUGAACCGCAUGGUUCAAAAGUAAAAGACGGUCUUGCUGUCACUUAUAGAUGGAUCCGCGCUGCAUUAGCUAGUUGGUAAGGUAACGGCUUACCAAGGCAACGAUGCAUAGCCGACCUGAGAGGGUGAUGGCCACACUGGAACUGAGACACGGUCCAG
rnacentral:rRNA from 1 species